rnacentral:rRNA from 1 species
UAGGGAAUAUUGGGCAAUGGACGGAAGUCUGACCCAGCCAUGCCGCGUGCAGGAUGAAGGCCUUCGGGUUGUAAAGCUCUGUCGUAUGGGACUAACAAAAUGAAGGUACCAUGCAAGAAAGGAUCGGCUAACUUCGUGCCAGCAGCCGCGGUAAGACGAGGGAUCCUAGCGUUGUUCGGAAUCACUGGGCGUAAAGCGGGUGUAGGUGGCUAGGCAAGUUAGGUGUGAAAGCCCCGGGCUCAACCCGGGAAGUGCACCCAAAACUACUUAGCUUGAGUAAGGAAGAGGAUAGGAGAAUUCUUGGUGUAGUGGUGAAAUACGUAGAUAUCAAGAGGAACACCGGUGGCGAAGGCGCCUAUCUGGUCCAUUACUGACACUCAGACCCGAAAGCGUGGGUAGCAAACA